rnacentral:tRNA from 1 species
GUUUUGAUAGUUAAUAAUAAUAAUAAUUUUGUAAAUUAUAGUUGAAUAUUCAUUCUCAAAACU